rnacentral:snRNA from 1 species
GUGCCUACUUUGUCAGCACAUAUACUAGAAUUGAAAUGAAUGAUACAAAGUAAAUUAGGGGGCCCCUGCACACAGAUGGCAUAAACACUUAUGAAGUGUUACAUACUUUU